ensembl:lncRNA
UGGAGUUAGCUGGGGCUGAGGGUUGAGAGGUGGGAAUGGAGUUAGCUGGGGCUGAGGGCUGGAGGUGGGAAUGGAGUUAGCUGAGGGCUGGGGGCUGGAGGUGGGAAUGGAGUUAGCUGAGGGCUGGGGGCUGGAGGUGGGAAUGGAGUUAGCUGAGGGCUGGGGGCUGGAGGUGGGAAUGGAGUUAGCUGGGGCUGAGGGCUGAGAGGUGGGAAUGGAGUUAGCUGGGGCUGAGGGCUGGAGGUGGGAAUGGAGUUAGCUGGGGCUGAGGGCUGGAGGUGGGAAUGGAGUUAGCUGGGGCUGAGAGGUGGGAAUGGAGUUAGCUGGGGCUGAGGGCUGAGAGGUGGGAAUGGAGUUAGCUGGGGCUGAGGGCUGAGAGGUGGGAAUGGAGUUAGCUGGGGCUGAGGGCUGAGAGGUGGGAAU